AUUAUUGGGCUUAAGCGUCCGUAGCCGGCUUAGCAAGUNUCCUGUUAAAUUCANCGACCUAAUCGUUGAGCCGCGGGANAUACUACUAGGCUAGGAGGCGGGAGAGGUCGACGGUACUUCUGGGGUAGGGGUGAAAUCCUAUAAUCCCGGGAGGACCACCAGUGGCGAAGGCUGUCGACUAGAACGCGCUCGACGGUGAGGGACGAAAGCUGGGGGAGCGAACCGGAUUAGAUACCCGGGUAGUCCCAGCUGUAAACGAUGCGGGCUAGGUGUUGGGNUGUACGUCACUUCAGUGCCGCAGGGAAGCCAUUAAGCCCGCCGCCUGGGGAGUACGGCCGCAAGGCUGAAACUUAAAGGAAUU
rnacentral:rRNA from 1 species